rnacentral:rRNA from 1 species
AAGUUGAAUUUUUUUUUACCUUAGAGUUUGAUCCUGGCUCAGAUUAAACGCUGUCUAUAUGCUUAAUACAUGCAAGUUAAAUAUCACGAGUUUUUUCUUUUGAUAUAGCACAAGGGUGAGUAAUGCGCAAAAAUCUGCCUUAUAAUUUGGUUUAAUUCCAAACAAAGAUUGUAUUGUUAUAAGAUGAGUUUGCGUAGGAUUAGGUUGUUGGUGGGGUAAAAGCCUACCAAGCCGAAGAUCCUUAAUUGAUCUUAGAGGAUGUUCAAUCACACUAAAACUGAGAUAAGGUUUAGACUUUAUAAAAAGGCAGCAGUAGGGAAUUUUAGGCAAUGGACUAACGUCUGACCUAGCAAUAUAGAGUGAAUGAUGAAUGUUGUUUUUAACUGUAAAGUUCUUUUAUUAGUGAAGAUUAUGACUGUAACUAAUGAAUAAGGUCUGGCUAACUUCGUGCCAGCAGCCGCGGUGAUACGGGGAGACCUAGUGUUAAUCGGAAUUAUUGGGCGUAAAACGUAUGUAGAUGGUUAUUACAUGAUUAAAGCUAAAUCUUAAAUCAAAUUAAGUAGCUUUUAUUAAUGGAUUUCUAGAGUAAGGGAGAAGAUUAUAGAAUUUUAAAGGGAGAAAUAAAAUUCAUAGAUCUUUAAAGGAAUGCCAAAAGCGAAAGCAAUAAUCUUACCCUAUACUGACAUUGAUAUACGAAAGCAUAGGUAGCGAAAAGGAUUAGAGACCCUUGUAGUCUAUUGCUGUAAACUAUGAAUACUCGUUUUUGGAAGUGUUUAUUGCUUUCAGAGACUUAGCUAACGCGUUAAGUAUUCUGCCUGAGGAGUACGGUGGCAACAUUAAAACUCAAAGGAAUUGACGGGGAUUCGCACAAUUGAUGGAACAUGUGGUUUAAUUCGUCAGUACACGCAAAAUCUUACCAAUCUUUGUAUAGUUUAAAACACCUUUUAACGAAGGUACUACUUUAAAUUACAGGUGUUGCAUGGUUGUCGUAAGCUCGUGUUUUGAAAUGUAUGGUUAACUCCUACUAACGAGCGAAACCCUUACCUUUUAUUGCUAAUAUAGCUUUUUUAAAUUUUUAUUUUUUAAAUAGCUGUGAGUACAUUAAAAGAAUUGCUUAUGAUAUAUAAGAUGAAAGCAAGGAUGACGACAAAUCUUCAUGACCCUUAUAGGUUGGGCCACUUCAUGUGUUACAAUGGUAAUUUAACAAAAAGUUGCAAUAAUGAAAAUUGGAGCUAAUCUUUAAAAGUUACCGAAGUUCUAAUUGUUUUCUGAAACUCGAAAACAUGAAGAUGGAACCAAUAGUAAUCGUUAAUCAGCAUGUAACGGUGAAUAUGUUCUCGAAUCUUGUACAUACCGCCCGUCACAGCCUGGGAGUUAUUUUUACUUUAGCUAAUGUUAUUAAAAAUUAUUUUAAAAGUUUUAAUGUAAAAUGUUUGCGUUAUUUUCUAAAAUAGUUUGAUGUAUAUUUUGCAAAGUAAAUCUGAUGACUGUGCUGAAGUCGUAACAAGGUAAUGGUAGAGGAAUCUGCUGUUGGAAGUUUAAUUGAAAGAAAGA